AGGUGGGAGGAUUGCUUGAGCCUGAGAGAUGGAGGUUGCAGUGAGCUGAGAUCAUGCCACUGCACUUCAGCCUGGG
rnacentral:miRNA from 1 species